AAGGUGGUGAAGCAAUUGAUGCCCCGCUUCCAGGAAAAGCCUCUAAGCUUCAGGUUACCAACAAUCGUACCCCAAACCGACACAGGUGGUCAGGUAGAGAAUACUCAGGCGCUUGAGAGAACUCGGGUGAAGGAACUAGGCAAAAUGGUGCCGUAACUUCGGGAGAAGGCACGCUGGCGGUAGGUAAAGUCCCUCGCGGACGGCGCUGAAGCCAGUCGAAGAUACCAGCUGGCUGCAACUGUUUAUUAAAAACACAGCACUGUGCAAACACGAAAGUGGACGUAUACGGUGUGACGCCUGCCCGGUGCUGGAAGGUUAAUUGAUGGGGUCAGCCGUAAGGCGAAGCUCCUGAUCGAAGCCCCAGUAAACGGCGGCCGUAACUAUAACGGUCCUAAGGUAGCGAAAUUCCUUGUCGGGUAAGUUCCGACCUGCACGAAUGGCGUAAUGAUGGCCAGGCUGUCUCCACCCGAGACUCAGUGAAAUUGAACUCGCUGUGAAGAUGCAGUGUACCCGCGGCAAGACGGAAAGACCCCGUGAACCUUUACUAUAGCUUGACACUGAACAUUGAGCCUUGAUGUGUAGGAUAGGUGGGAGGCUUUGAAGUGUGGACGCCAGUCUGCAUGGAGCCAACCUUGAAAUACCACCCUUUAACGUUUGAUGUUCUAACCUAGGCCCAUAAACUGGGUCGGGGACCGUGUCUGGUGGGUAGUUUGACUGGGGCGGUCUCCUCCUAAAGAGUAACGGAGGAGCACGAAGGUUGGCUAAGCAUGGUCGGACAUCAUGCGGUUAGUGCAAAGGCAUAAGCCAGCUUGACUGCGAGAGUGACGGCUCGAGCAGGUACGAAAGUAGGUCUUAGUGAUCCGGUGGUUCUGAAUGGAAGGGCCAUCGCUCAACGGAUAAAAGGUACUCCGGGGAUAACAGGCUGAUACCGCCCAAGAGUUCAUAUCGACGGCGGUGUUUGGCACCUCGAUGUCGGCUCAUCACAUCCUGGGGCUGAAGUAGGUCCCAAGGGUAUGGCUGUUCGCCAUUUAAAGUGGUACGCGAGCUGGGUUUAGAACGUCGUGAGACAGUUCGGUCCCUAUCUGCCGUGGGCGUUGGAAGAUUGAGAGGGGUUGCUCCUAGUACGAGAGGACCGGAGUGAACGCACCACUGGUGUUCGGGUUGUCAUGCCAAUGGCAUUGCCCGGUAGCUAAGUGCGGAAGAGAUAACCGCUGAAAGCAUCUAAGCGGGAAACUUGCC
rnacentral:rRNA from 1 species